CCUACGGGAGGCAGCAGUGAGGAAUAUUGGUCAAUGGGCGAGAGCCUGAACCAGCCAAGUCGCGUGAAGGAUGAAGGAUCUAUGGUUUGUAAACUUCUUUUAUAUGGGAAUAAAACGAGGCACGUGUGCCUUUUUGCAUGUACUUUAUGAAUAAGGAUCGGCUAACUCCGUGCCAGCAGCCGCGGUAAUACGGAGGAUCCGAGCGUUAUCCGGAUUUAUUGGGUUUAAAGGGAGCGUAGAUGGGUUGUUAAGUCAGUUGUGAAAGUUUGCGGCUCAACCGUAAAAUUGCAAUUGAUACUGGCAGUCUUGAGUACAGUUGAGGUAGGCGGAAUUCGUGGUGUAGCGGUGAAAUGCUUAGAUAUCACGAAGAACCCCGAUUGCGAAGGCAGCUUACUAAACUGUGACUGACAUUGAUGCUCGAAAGUGUGGGUAUCAAACAGGAUUAGAUACCCGGGUAGUC
rnacentral:rRNA from 1 species